GAGUGGCGCAAUGGUAGCGCAGCCGACUUGUAAUCGGCAGGUUACGGGUUCGAAUCCUGUCUC
rnacentral:tRNA from 1 species